rnacentral:rRNA from 1 species
GAUGAACGCUGGCGGCGCGCCUAAUACAUGCAAGUCGAGCGAACGGACGAGAAGCUUGCUUCUCUGAUGUUAGCGGCGGACGGGUGAGUAACACGUGGAUAACCUACCUAUAAGACUGGGAUAACUUCGGGAAACCGGAGCUACUACCGGAUAAUAUUUUGAACCGCAUGGUUCAAAAGUGAAAGACGGUCUUGCUGUCACUUAUAGAUGGAUCCGCGCUGCAUUAGCUAGUUGGUAAGGUAACGGCUUACCAAGGCAACGAUGCAUAGCCGACCUGAGAGGGUGAUCGGCCACACUGGAACUGAGACACGGUCCAGACUCCUACGGGAGGCAGCAGUAGGGAAUCUUCCGCAAUGGGCGAAAGCCUGACGGAGCAACGCCGCGUGAGUGAUGAAGGUCUUCGGAUCGUAAAACUCUGUUAUUAGGGAAGAACAUAUGUGUAAGUAACUGUGCACAUCUUGACGGUACCUAAUCAGAAAGCCACGGCUAACUACGUG